rnacentral:lncRNA from 1 species
UGUUUAGCUCAAGGAAGGCUCAAGAAUCUUUGCUUUGGAAACCUUGUUUCAACUUCCCUAUUUCAGUCAGUUCUCCUCAGGCCUCAGUAGAACCCCGUGGUUAACUUUAUUACAAAGUUUAUCCAAAUUUGUUGUGAUUUUCUCAUUAUAAGCCUGAUUUUCCACUAGCCUGUGUUCCAAUUUGCCAUGUACUUUUCUCUGUCACUACCACAGUGCGAACACCUUAGGAAAUGUGGAUGACAAUAAGGAAGAGCAAGUUUACAUGAAGGGAGCAAGUAUGUGUUUACAUGUUUGUUCUUCUAAAUAAAUCAAGGAGGUUUUGGUGUCUGUGGGCUUUUUAGAAAAUUGGUCAGUUUACCUAGCCAAGGACCACGUAUCUUUCUUUUAGUGCUGCUCUCUGUCCCCCAGUCCCUGCACCCACCCACACACUCAGCUGAAAGAGGAUAUGUUCACAACUGUAUUAGUGGUUGCAAAAUUGAGCCCCACCCCUCGGAAGCAGGAUAUUUCCCCCACCCCUGCAUGGGACUCCCGACAGGGGUGCCUCAUUUACUCAGCUCACCACUUUGAACUUCUCGUGGGAGGGAGUGCGCAAGCGACUGAGGCGGGAACUGGAGUGCACGAGCACUGGAAUUGGCCAACUGCUUUGGUGCCUGCAGGAUCAAACUCCACUCAUUCGGACCUGCUGCACUCCACCCCUCAUGGGAGGGAACACACAGGUAUUCUCAACUUUUGAAACCCAUCUGUGUUCAUGAUCUAAGAAGUUAAAGCUCUCCCUGUGGACUAUGCAACAUCACCCCCUGUGGGAUCUUUUCCCUAUAAGAGAAACAUGGUGAAAAUGGUUAUCUUCAGGAAGAAGACUCUUGGAGAAUAGAAAGAAGUUCCACAGAAGCCAAAAAGAAAAAAAAAAAAAAACUACAUGUGAAUUGCAAAAGGCUAAUUGAUGCCUUUGAUUUUCUGUGAACCAUGGCAAAACUUGUGGAGCUGUGCUUUUUAUUUUUUAUUUUUUUAGGCUAAGGUUAGGUUGACCAUUAGAGUAUUAACUUGGUAUUUUAAGUAAAAGAAACACCACUACUAAAUUCUUAGACCUCAGUAAGCUUCUUAAAUAAUGAUUAGACCAUAAUAUAAUUAGAAGUAAUGCAAAUAAACAUUUAAAGCAGUUUUUACAGUAAUUUUGUUUUGUUUCUGAGGUUUUUGAUCUGUGUUCCACUUAUUGCUACUUAAGUGUCUUAUUUUAGUGACAAUACACCUCUUCUUAUUCACUCAAAAAUAACAUGGUAGUAAAAAAUUGAAAACUGGAAACUAUAUUAGGAAUAAUAGGAAAGUUUAUCAAAUAAAAGCAUGAAUGCAUAUGUAUUAGUUCCUUCUCAUGUUAUAAAGACAUACCCAAGACUGGAUAAUUUAUAAAGAAAAAGAGGUUUAAUGAACUCACAAUUUCACGUGGCUGGGGAGGCCUCACAAUCAUGAUGGAAAGCUAAGGAGAAGCAAAGGCAUGUCUUACAUGGUGGCAAGCAAGACAGCUUGUGCAGGGGAACUCCCCUUUAUAAAACCAUCAGAUCUCGUGAAAUAUAUUCACUAUUAUGAGAACAACAUGGGAAAAACCUGUCUCCAGAUUCAAUUACCUCCCACCGGGUCUCUCCCAUGACACAUGGGGAUUAUGAGAGCUACCAUUCAAGAUGAGAUUUGGAUGGGGACACAGCCAAACCAUAUCAGCAUAUAUAAUUGUAAAAUAACUAUUUUUUAAAUCCAACAAAUAAAUUCUGCCCAUAUCGAAUGGAUAUUUUUUACAUUAACUUAUUGGAAAAUGGUACCCCUAGGUGAUAUCCAUUUAAUAAUAGGAUAAAUAUAGUUUUUUAUG